rnacentral:rRNA from 1 species
CCUACGGGGGGCAGCAGUGGGGAAUAUUGCUCAAUGGGGGAAACCCUGAUGCAGCCACGCCGCGUGAGUGAAGACUUCCUUCGGUAUGUAAAGCUCUAUUAGCAGGGAAGCAAAUCACGGUACCUGAGUACGAAGCCCCGGCUAACUACGUCCCAGCAGCCGCGGUAAUACGGAGGGGGCAAGCGUUAUCCCGAUUUCCUGGGGGUAAAGGGGGCGUAAUCGGCAGUGCAAGUCUGGAGUGAAAGGCGGGGGGUCAACCCGCGGACUGCUCUGGAAACUGUACGGCUGGAGUGCAGGAGAGGUAAGCGGAAUGCGUGGUGUAGCGGUGAAAUGCGUAGAUAUUAGGAAGAACACCAGUGGCGAAGGCGGCUUACUGGACUGUAACUGACGUUGAGGCACGAAAGCGUGGGGAGCAAACAGGAUUAGAUACCCUAGUAGUC